AGAGAGAGACAUGCGCGCAUAUCAAUAAGCGGAGGAAAAGAAACUAACUAGGAUUCCCCUCAGUAACGGCGAGUGAAGCGGGAAGAGCUCAAAUUUGAAAUCUUCAAGGUUCUACCUUGACGAAUUGUAGUUUAAAGAAGUGUCUUCUGUUGGAGUUUUGGUAAAAGUUCUUUGGAAUAGGACAUCAUAGAGGGUGAGAAUCCCGUAUUUGACCAUUAUUUCAAGCUGUGUGAUACACUUUCAAAGAGUCGGAUUGUUUGGGAAUGCAGUCCAAAAUGGGUGGUAAAUUUCAUUCUAAAGCUAAAUAUUGGCGAGAGACCGAUAGCGAACAAGUACCGUGAGGGAAAGAUGAAAAGAACUUUGAAAAGAGAGUUAAACAGUACGUGAAAUUGUCAGAAGGGAAGCGUUUGACACCAGUGUUGUUUUCUCGAAAAUCAAUUCAUGGUGGCUUGAUGCUAGGUUGUUAUGACUUUAUCAGCAUACUGUCUAGUUUUCUUGUCUUUGUGAAUGCACUUUUCGUUUAACAAGUCAACAUCAAUUUCUUUUGUUGUAAAAGGGUCAUUGGAAGGUGGCUUUCUUUUCGGAGAAAGUGUUUAUAGCCUUUGGCCUCUGCAAUCGGAGAGAUUGAGGUCUGCAGCGUAGAUCCUUCGGGGUUAGAUACAUUUGUGCUAAGUUAUAGCCUUUCAUAGACAACUUGUUGACUAUGAUCAGUCAUGUAGCUUACUCGCUUAUGCUAUUUUACCUACGCUUAGGAUGUUGACAGCAGUAUAGACUGU
rnacentral:rRNA from 1 species